rnacentral:rRNA from 1 species
GCUGGCGGCGUGCCUAAUACAUGCAAGUCGAGCGAACUGAUUAGAAGCUUGCUUCUAUGACGUUAGCGGCGGACGGGUGAGUAACACGUGGGCAACCUGCCUGUAAGACUGGGAUAACUUCGGGAAACCGAAGCUAAUACCGGAUAGGAUCUUCUCCUUCAUGGGAGAUGAUUGAAAGAUGGUUUCGGCUAUCACUUACAGAUGGGCCCGCGGUGCAUUAGCUAGUUGGUGAGGUAACGGCUCACCAAGCAACGAUGCAUAGCCGACCUGAGAGGGUGAUCGGCCACACUGGGACUGAGACACGGCCCAGACUCCUACGGGAGGCAGCAGUAGGGAAUCUUCCGCAAUGGACGAAAGUCUGACGGAGCAACGCCGCGUGAGUGAUGAAGGCUUUCGGGUCGUAAAACUCUGUUGUUAGGGAAGAACAAGUACAAGAGUAACUGCUUGUACCUUGACGGUACCUAACCAGAAAGCCACGGCUAACUACGUGCCAGCAGCCGCGGUAAUACGUAGGUGGCAAGCGUUAUCCGGAAUUAUUGGGCGUAAAGCGCGCGCAGGCGGUUUCUUAAGUCUGAUGUGAAAGCCCACGGCUCAACCGUGGAGGGUCAUUGGAAACUGGGGAACUUGAGUGCAGAAGAGAAAAGCGGAAUUCCACGUGUAGCGGUGAAAUGCGUAGAGAUGUGGAGGAACACCAGUGGCGAAGGCGGCUUUUUGGUCUGUAACUGACGCUGAGGCGCGAAAGCGUGGGGAGCAAACAGGAUUAGAUACCCUGGUAGUCCACGCCGUAAACGAUGAGUGCUAAGUGUUAGAGGGUUUCCGCCCUUUAGUGCUGCAGCUAACGCAUUAAAGCACUCCGCCUGGGGAGUACGGUCGCAAGACUGAAACUCAAAGGAAUUGACGGGGGCCCGCACAAGCGG